AGCAGCCGCGGUAAUUCCAGCUCCAAUAGCGUAUAUUAAAGUUGUUGCAGUUAAAAAGCUCGUAGUUGAAUUUCGGGAUCAAGGGAUCGGUCAUGCCUCGGUAUGUACUGGUCUUAUUGGUUCUCACCUUCUAAGGAACCAUGAUGUCAUUCAUUUGAUGUUGUGGGGAAUUAGGACUGUUACCUUGAAAAAAUUAGAGUGUUUAAAGCAGGCUUACGCUUGAAUACAUUAGCAUGGAAUAAUGAAAUAGGACAUCAGAUUCUAUUUUGUUGGUUUCUAGGAUCGAUGUAAUGAUUAAUAGGGAUAGUUGGGGGCAUUAGUAUUCAAUUGUCAGAGGUGAAAUUCUUGGAUUUAUUGAAGACUAACUACUGCGAAAGCAUUUGCCAAGGAUGUUUUCAUUAAUCAAGAACGAAAGUUAGGGGAUCGAAGACGAUCAGAUACCGUCGUAGU
rnacentral:rRNA from 1 species